rnacentral:rRNA from 1 species
CCUACGGGUGGCAGCAGUGAGGAAUAUUGGUCAAUGGGCGCGAGCCUGAACCAGCCAAGUAGCGUGAAGGAUGACUGCCCUACGGGUUGUAAACUUCUUUUGUCAAGGAAUAAAGUGAGGCACGUGUGACUUUUUGUGUGUACUUUAUGAAUAAGGAUCGUCUAACUCCGUGCCAGCAGCCGCGGUAAUACGGAGGAUCCGAGCGUUAUCCGGAUUUAUUGGGUUUAAAGGGAGCGUAGACGGGUUGUUAAGUCAGGUGGGAAAGUUUGCGGCUCAACCGUAAAAUUGCAAUUGAUACUGGCAGUCUUGAGUACAGUUGAGGUAGGCGGAAUGCGUGGUGUAGCGGUGAAAUGCUUAGAUAUCACGAAGAACUCCGAUUGCGAAGGCAGCUUACCAAACUGCCACUGACAUUGAUGCUCGAAAGUGUGGGUAUCAAACAGGAUUAGAUACCCUUGUAGUC